UUUCAAAUGACAACAAGCAGGACCCAAUGGUGGAUCCCUCCACAGCAGGAAUAGCAAGAGUCGGCAGAUCUAGGACAGGGGCAUGACUAAGGGUGUGUGGGGCAUGUGGAAUGUAUUAGGUGACACCCUAAGAGGGAGUGACACCAAUGCUUCCCAAACAUCUGCCUUUGGAAGAAAUGGCUAUGGAGUUCAUCUGUGUCCCUUUAAAAUGAUGAAGAGAUGGUGGGGUGAGGCUCAGAGAAAGGAGAGGUCCCAGAUCAAAGGCCUUGUUGAGGUAUGGAGCAGCAUUGAAAAUGUUCAGAUGUGGCAGAGAAGCUAAGACACUCACUGUUCUUAACCAGGAAUUGGUUGCAGCUGUGGCUCCAGACAGCAGGCCUUUCCUGGGGCUGCUCCCACAAUUUGGAACUCCCUCCCUCAGAAAGAUAGCGUGGCUCCUCCUUUCUUUUCCUUUCAGUGACAGAUUAAGACCCUUCUUUUCCAGCAAGUUUUUGAAAACUGAUUUUGAUAAAAAUGGUUUUUAUGUUGCUGUACUGUUUAAAUGAUUUAAA